CGCGCUGCGGGCCUCCGCCGACGACGACCGCGCCGCGCUGUGGCUGCACUUCGCCGGCGACGACACCUUGGAAUUAGAUAUGGAGGGUAGUCCUAAACCAGCCGUGUUCAUACUGCACAACCUUCUGUCUGCUCGUGUACAUUCACUACCGAACGAGACAUCCACUCAGCCGCUAUAACACGAGGACUCUGACGCUUCACCCGAAGCGUUCGAUUUUAUAUACUGAAGUAGAAUGGGGUAAGCAUUCUCUGAUCGACGCGGUUAUGUAAUACGUAUCAGUUAUUACAAUUUUUUCACAUCUUUGACAGAUCUGUAGAGUACCUAUAUACAAAUAAUAGCUUUUUUGAGUCUACUCACUGAAUUUAAAAAAAAACAACAUUCCACUUUUACAAUUAUAUUAUUCAUAAUGUGGUAAGACCGUAAAUGAUUACGUCGAGGUUAGGUCAAAGCUUCUAUCAAUAAACGUGAUGCAAUAGUGAAGCUAAACGACCAAAAAUCGUAUGCACUGAAGAGUGGCCGUGAACACCAGGCUCGAAGGACCAAAUGUAAUGUUCAUUAUUUUACCAAUAUAUCGCCGGUAUACUCUGUUAUAAUGAAUACUUAAACAGUAUCAAUAACAACAACAAAAAUGUAAACAACUUGUCAGUAUACAAGUCUUGGAAACCGACAAAAAAUUCCAACUAGUUAACGUUUAAGUGCAUAGAGAAGUAUUUAUUUGGUUUUAAUCGAAUUUUAACCAUCAUUUUACGGUUUUAGUUAUUUACGUUCAAUAUUAAGUUUUUUGUUAAUUAAUCGGUUUUAUCCUUUAGAGUUAUUUGACAGAGUAUGAGCGUUCGACUAUCAAUUGGUAGGAACGUUCGUCUUUUGCGGAGUUAACCGGUUAAUAAGUGUUAAAAAAGAACUCAACGAACGACGAAAUAAUAGAUGCAAACCGAUUUUAAGCGUUAAAUUAAAACAAGCCUUGGUCUUAUUACAUAAGUUUUUAUAUCUGGUGAAAUAUAUAAAGAACCGCGGAUUGGAUUGUAUUAUGUAUUUUGGCCACGGUAUAAUAUUCCAAUUUGAUACAUGACAAUAUAUGUUGAGGUCCUAAGCGUGGUAGAGUAAUAUUCCAUAGGUUAAGCUGCUAGAAACUUUUAGAAGUAAUCAUAUCUCUUUCGUAACUUGUAGCUUCGUGUGUAUCGUCAAUUCAUAAUAUUUCUAUAAAAUAUAAUAUAGUGUGUUUAUUGAUCUCUAUAUAUUUCUGUAGUGUUACGACUUUUUCUAAUUUGAUCUUCCAGAAUAAAUAUAAUAUAACGCCUCUUCUGAAAUGCUGGUUUAAAAUAUGUGAAAACAUUAACCCUCUGAUUCAUAAUAGUCUGCUAACUUAAAGCAUUGCUAAUUCUCACUCUGUCUUCUUCUAUUGACCUAAGUCAGAAUGAGAAAAAACACUCCUAAGCGGCUGUUUAAAGUUAGCGGACCAUUAUGAAUAAGGGGGUAUAUGAAGCAGUUUAUUUGUUUACUUACUGUCUAGUUUACAUUUGCCUUUUUUGUUUCAACUUACUGUUUCUUUUUAAUUGUAUUGUCUCUUCAUCAGAUUAAAUUUAAAUUGUAUAAGAAUAAAUAAAAUAUAAUACGAAAUAUGUGAAGUAAUCCUCACUCUUAAUAAUAAUAAUUCUAGUCGAAUUUUGUUAUGUCUGUCAGAUAAGUUGUCGAAGGGCUAUCGGGAAAUUUGAGAAGUACAUCCCGUUUGAGUUUUGAGUUAUAGUUAGUUAGUUAUUUGAACAAAUUCAACGAUGGGAUUUAUGGUUUACUAUUAUUAAGAAACUUAUCUAUAAUUGCCGAUAUGAAUGUUGAUGUUGACACAAUAAUCAAGAAACUAACUUUCGUAGUUACACGAAAUUAUGAUAAUGACUUAUUUGUUCGAAGGAACGUGUAUUCAUAUAAUUCUUUUUUAUUUUUUUUACAAAUAUAAUAAUUAUUUUACCAAGUAAGCAGUAGAUUAUAUUAUUAGUAAUAAUUAUUGUUUUGCACGGGUGUAUUAUAUUUUUUAUCCAAAGAACGAAUCUCUUUAAUUAUUGUUCAAUAUAUUAAGGUGUUGACGUGUUGAUUAUAAUAUAUUUUUUAUAAUUUAUUUGUUAUAUAGAAUCGUAAGUAGCUGUAGUGUUUUUACAUUCCUAGAGUGUAGUGUAGAUGUCGCUUUAAUUAUGUAAUAAUAUUGUGUAAUCUUAUGUACGAUUCUGUAGAGGGUGAUUGUAUGUAUCUGUUUGUGUUAUUUGUAGAUGGCAAUCUUUUGUAGUUUUCAAGGUUGUUGAAACUUGCAGUCACAAAAUGCGAGAGCAGUAUAACCGAUUUGUCGCUCUCGUUCGCACUUUCGUGUGUCUUGUACGGAUGGGGCGAGCUAGACGCUAAUUAUGUAUUAUUUCCAAGUAUUUUUAUUAUAUCUCGGUUGUAUAUUACACGCGAUUUUUCGCUAAUUGGAACGCUCAUUCGGAAUAUUUGACGAAUCUCC